GCGGGCGGGGGGCUAGUGGCGCGCGCGCCCGGCACCCGAGGGCUGCGGAGAGAUAUUUUGGGUGGCAGGAGGCCCCUCGUCAUUUCCGCCGUGCAGCUAGUCGUGCUGGGGGCUUCACUCUCGCCCGUGAGGCGAGCGGGCAAGUUGGCUGAGGGCGUGCGGCAGAGGCUCCUUCCCUCGGCGACGCGACCCUUCAGCAGCUCAAGCCAUGAACUGAAGCUCGGUAGGGACCGAGACUCAGGCGGAGUGGAGGAGGCAGCAGCAGCAGCAGCCGCCGCCGCCUUAGCGGGAAUUGAGCCGACCCGGCGCGGAGCCACGACUCUUUCACGUUUCCCUCCCCGUCGCCGCUCCUGCCAGCUGUUGGCUAAGAGGCAUUACAGCCGCGAGACUCGACACACAAAAGCAGCUUUCUCCGCGCCGCCCGCGCAGGGAGGCUGCGGCCAGCAAGGGACCCCACCUGAGGGCGGCUCGGGCUGCUGAGUUCGUUUUGUGUCUGAGGUCCGCGCUCCCCGCGGAACCGACCGACCCCGUACCCAUGGCUCUGAUAAUGGAACCGGUGAGCAAAUGGUCUCCGAGUCAAGUAGUGGACUGGAUGAAAGGUCUUGAUGACUGUUUGCAGCAGUAUAUUAAGAACUUUGAGAGGGAGAAGAUCAGUGGGGACCAGCUGCUGCGCAUUACACAUCAGGAGCUAGAGGAUCUGGGGGUCAGCCGCAUUGGCCAUCAGGAACUGAUCUUGGAAGCAGUUGACCUUCUGUGUGCAUUGAAUUAUGGCUUGGAAACAGAAAAUCUGAAAACCCUUUCUCACAAGUUGAAUGCAUCUGCCAAAAAUCUACAGAAUUUUAUAACAGGAAGGAGAAGGAGUGGCCAUUAUGAUGGGAGGACCAGCCGAAAAUUGCCAAAUGACUUUCUGACCUCAGUUGUGGAUCUGAUUGGAGCAGCCAAGAGUCUGCUUGCCUGGUUGGACAGGUCACCAUUUGCUGCUGUGACAGACUAUUCAGUUACAAGAAAUAAUGUCAUACAACUCUGCCUGGAGUUGACAACAAUUGUGCAACAGGAUUGUACUGUGUAUGAAACAGAGAAUAAAAUUCUUCACGUGUGUAAAACUCUUUCUGGAGUCUGUGACCACAUCAUAUCCCUGUCAUCCGAUCCUCUGGUUUCACAGUCUGCUCACCUGGAAGUGAUUCAGCUGGCAAACAUCAAACCAAGCGAAGGGCUGGGUAUGUAUAUUAAAUCUACAUAUGAUGGCCUCCAUGUAAUUACUGGAACCACAGAAAAUUCACCUGCAGAUCGGUGCAAGAAAAUCCAUGCUGGGGAUGAAGUGAUUCAAGUUAAUCAUCAGACUGUGGUGGGGUGGCAGUUGAAAAAUUUGGUGAAUGCACUACGAGAGGACCCGAGUGGUGUUAUCUUAACUUUGAAAAAGCGACCUCAGAGCAUGCUUACCUCAGCACCAGCUUUACUGAAAAAUAUGAGAUGGAAGCCCCUUGCUCUGCAGCCUCUUAUACCUAGAAGUCCCACAAGCAGUGUUGCCACGCCUUCCAGCACCAUCAGUACACCCACCAAAAGAGACAGUUCUGCCCUCCAGGAUCUCUACAUUCCUCCUCCUCCUGCAGAACCAUAUAUUCCCAGGGAUGAAAAAGGAAACCUUCCUUGUGAAGACCUUAGAGGACAUAUGGUGGGCAAGCCAGUACAUAAAGGAUCGGAGUCACCAAAUUCAUUUCUGGAUCAGGAAUAUCGAAAGAGGUUUAAUAUUGUUGAAGAAGAUACUGUCUUAUAUUGCUAUGAAUAUGAAAAAGGAAGAUCAAGUAGUCAAGGAAGACGAGAAAGCACCCCCACUUAUGGCAAGCUACGACCUAUAUCUAUGCCAGUGGAAUAUAAUUGGGUGGGGGACUAUGAAGAUCCAAAUAAGAUGAAGAGAGAUAGUAGAAGAGAAAACUCUCUACUUCGGUAUAUGAGCAAUGAAAAGAUUGCUCAAGAAGAAUACAUGUUUCAGAGAAAUAGCAAAAAGGACACAGGGAAGAAGUCAAAAAAGAAGGGUGAUAAGAGUAAUAGCCCAACUCACUAUUCAUUGCUACCUAGUUUACAAAUGGAUGCACUGAGACAAGACAUCAUGGGAACUCCUGUGCCAGAGACUACACUAUACCAUACAUUUCAGCAGUCCUCACUGCAGCACAAAUCAAAGAAGAAAAACAAAGGUCCUAUAGCAGGCAAGAGCAAAAGACGAAUUUCUUGCAAAGAUCUUGGUCGUGGUGAUUGUGAAGGGUGGCUUUGGAAAAAGAAAGAUGCGAAGAGUUAUUUUUCACAGAAAUGGAAGAAAUAUUGGUUUGUCCUAAAGGAUGCAUCCCUGUAUUGGUAUAUUAAUGAGGAGGAUGAAAAAGCAGAAGGAUUCAUCAGUCUGCCCGAAUUUAAAAUUGAUAGAGCCAGUGAAUGCCGCAAAAAAUAUGCAUUCAAAGCCUGUCAUCCUAAAAUCAAAAGCUUUUAUUUUGCUGCUGAACAUCUUGAUGAUAUGAACAGGUGGCUUAACAGAAUUAAUAUGCUGACUGCAGGUUAUGCAGAAAGAGAGAGGAUUAAGCAAGAACAAGAUUACUGGAGUGAAAGUGACAAGGAAGAAGCAGAUACUCCUUCAACGCCAAAACAAGAUAGCCCUCCACCCCCAUACGAUACAUACCCACGACCUCCCUCGAUGAGUUGUGCCAGUCCUUAUGUGGAAGCAAAACAUAGCCGACUUUCCUCCACGGAGACUUCUCAGUCUCAGUCUUCUCAUGAGGAGUUUCGCCAGGAAGUAACUGGGAGCAGUGCAGUGUCUCCCAUUCGCAAGACAGCCAGUCAGCGCCGCUCCUGGCAGGAUUUAAUUGAGACACCACUGACAAGUUCAGGCUUACACUAUCUUCAGACUCUGCCUCUGGAGGAUUCUGUCUUCUCUGACUCUGCGGCCAUCUCCCCAGAGCACAGGCGGCAGUCCACCCUGCCAACUCAGAAGUGCCACCUGCAGGAUCACUAUGGGCCAUACCCGUUAGCUGAGAGUGAGAGGAUGCAAGUGCUAAAUGGAAAUGGGGGCAAGCCUCGAAGUUUUACUCUGCCUCGAGAUAGCGGGUUCAACCAUUGCUGCCUGAAUGCUCCAGUUAGUGCCUGUGACCCACAGGAUGACGUGCAACCCCCAGAGGUGGAGGAAGAGGAAGAGGAGGAGGAGGAGGAGGAGGAGGAAGAGGAGGAGGAGGAGGAGGAGGAGGAGGAGGAAGGGGAGGCAGCAGGGGAAAACAUAGGAGAAAAAAGCUAAUACACUGCGAGAGUUGGUAGAACCUCUCCAUGCCAAAUCGGAUCCACUUCUGUUGGCACUCAACCCAUUGGACUCACAGAUUGAUAAGCUAAUGUUUAGAGAAUUUAGAUCGGAGAGAGUCGGCACGUCGCAGACUCAACAUCAACCUCUUGCAAGCAACUAAAAUGGCCUCGUCCUUGCUGUUUAUAACAGAAAACAGACUUGUAAAAAGCUUAGAUCAUCAAGUGUUUUGGAUUGGGGGCCUCCCAAAGGGAUAUAAGAGGGGCAGGCCACUCUUAAGAAGAAUGCGAGCUUUCUACAUUGGGACUAGCAUAAGAUCAAAGCCAAUCAAGAUGGAGCACAGUAACAGAAAACUGCGGUUUCUAUGGGAGAACAGAAGGGGAAAGGGUCUUAACUGGGAAAGGGCUCUGUGUGGUGACACCUCAGUUGUGUUCUCCUGACACCAGGAAAAGAGAGGGAUCAGCUUCAAUAACUAGAAAAUCCUGGCUGUUUAAUGAACUCUUUGGUGGCCUCUUUUAAGGCAAAGCAGAGAAAGCAAAUUAUGUAUUAAGUGUAUUUUGCAUUUUUAAAACUUGACGUGCUGUAUUGUACUAAAUUAAGUGUAAUCUAUUAAGGCAAGGUAUACACAAUGUGCUCUGAAACUUAAUAUGUUUAUUCUAUUAUAAAGUGUAUUCAGGUACAACACAGAGACUGCUUUCGGUGACAUUAAUGAAGAAAAUUUCUCAUGCCAGGCUUUAUUAUAGAAUCCUCAGCUAAAAUCCUAACUUUCUCCUUAUUUCUUGGCACUUGUACACAAGUGGUGUUGCCUCUUAGGGCAGGCAUGAGCUAUUCUUUUCUGUAAAAUAUUUUGAAUCUAUAGGCUGUGGGUUUCAUUUUUGAAAAAGUAUUUUGUCUGGAUGUCUUUCAAACUAGCUUCAGAUAUUAUUUAAUACUAUGUAAUUGGGUAGUCCCCUAUGACUCAAUCAGAAUUGCUUAUUUUUCUUCUGUAGUGGAUGUGAAAUUUUUUUUAGUUGGAUAAGAUACACUGUAAUAAUUUUAAUGCUAAUUAAUGGAUAUUUCAUACUGUGCAAUGAACAGUUAAUUUAACACUGUAUUUUGAAAUGUUUUUUUCUUCCUGUCACCGCAGUGUGUGGUAUUGCAUAAUGUGAAUACCUGUAAAAAUAUAAAUUACUUAAAAAUAAAAAUAUGACCAAUUGGUAUCAGAUCGUUUCAGAUAGCUAAAUAAUUUGCUAAGUAUGCUUGAUAGUAAAUAUCUUUCUAAAAAGAAGUAAUCAAUGCUUCUUUCUCACAAAUGGAAUUUGUGUCUGUGAAUAAAAUCACAUUGAUCUGCCUUACAAUUGCCUCUGUGCUCUAACCAUUUUAAUGUGUUUUUUAAAAAUACAUACAUAUAUAUAUAUAUUUAUAUAUAUAUAAAAUAGUUCUGGUAUAUAGAAAUAUAUCAAAAAACAUUUUAUUGGCAUUUAAUAUUUAUGGGAUUGUGUUGGGUCAUUCUCCCUGUUUAAGUCAUAGUAAAAUUUUGUGAUCUGAAGAAUUUUUUUUCUCAUUAAGGAAUAUAGUGACUCCACAUUAAUUUUCAAAUACAAUCAUCUCUUAGCUUUAGUUUUAAACUAUCUCCUUUAUGAGUUCCUGUCUGAGAGCCAAGCACUUUUACUUCCAUAUUCCUAGUGGUUAAAUUUUCUAAAUUCUACAGGUAAGCCUAAACUCUCUCAUUUAUAUUUUUGAUUGUCCUUCAAAGAACCUUCCCUUCUUUGGGGCAAUAAAUCAAUGCUAAGAACACCAAGAUUUUGCCAUCUGGACUACUUGUCAUAAAAACUACUGUAAUGCCCUGAAAAUUCAACCACUGUGAUGUAUUUUUAUCAUUAAACCACAUAAUUUUGCAGAAAUUAUAUGUUUAGAUACAUAUAGAAUAAACUUUAGCUAUAUUUCUUUUGUCACAUCUUUAUAGAGCAAGAUUUAGUGUUGUAAGGAAGAAAUUGACAGACACAAGUACUUGAUUUCAGUGAAGCACAUUACCAUUCUUACAAGGAUGGGCUUUACAUGUUCUUUAAAAAUACACUUAGCAAAUGUUGGUGAAGUCACUCAAACUGGCCUUUUAAGAGAAAGGGUUUUUUCUCACUAAAAUAGCUUUCUUUCAGCAGAGAAAUUAUUGCCCAAUAGUAAUGUUUGUGUAAAUAUGAAACAAGUAGUUGAUUACAAAGGGAGGACUAAAAGCCAGCUUUUAAAAUCUUACGCUUUUUUCUGAUAUAACAAACUACCCUCCCCAACCCCAGGUUUAUAAUUGAUUUAUAUAAAAGCACUAAGAGAGCUAGUAUUUAAUUACAAACAUUCAAAUUAUAGUAUAAACCCCUGAAUACUUAAUCAUCUUUGUCAUAAAACCUGCAAAGACAUUAAGUCCAUUAAAAGUUUGUCACCUUACAUAUAAAUAAGUUAUUCAUUGUGGCAUGCUAGUAAAUUCAUAUUCAUAGAAAAUAUUCGGGUGUUCUCAAUGCAAAUGUUAAUUGCCUUCUGUGACAAGAAUAGUGUUUCACAUACUUGAUAUCAUUAGCCUGGAUGCCUUAAAGCGCUCUGCCACCAUACAAGAAUGAAUGUCUCUCAAAUCUGACUAUGUCCAGCCUCCUCUCCCAUUCGUGAUUUAAUCUUUCCCAACCUUCUGGGCUCAUUACACAGCUGUAUUGCAGAAGGAACAACUGUUUCCACAAGGACAUCAUUAUCCAAUUUUACAAGAUCACAGAUCCCUUCCAAAAUAUGUACCAGAACUCAUUAUCCAUCAUUGGUUUCAUUCUUCAAGAGCCCAAUCAGUUUACUUAUUUGUUUUGUUUUCAUUUUUUAUGCUCCUUCAACAUUGUCAUUGCAGGGAUGUUUCGGGAAAUGGGGAGAAUAAUAGAGUAAAAUUUUAGGUUGCCAAGUUUCAUGAACAAUAUUAUGCAAUAGACUGUCCUAAUAAUUACACAGUCACCUGUUAGGGAACACUCUUUGGAGUAGUUCUUGUAUAAAUUAAAGAAAACCAUCACUCUGUUUGAAUGUGUUGGGUUGCAUGAGGCACUGUGCCAGGUAGAAGAAUGGGAAAUGCAAAUGAGUGGGACAAAUUCCACUCAUGGAAAAGUCACAGUCUAAGUCUCUGAAGUAGGGCACACAAGGGUCCUUUAAGGUACAGGAAGAAAAAACAUUGGAAUUUUUCCUUGGGUUUCAUCUCUCAUCCUUUUGAAUUUCUUUCUGUGUAUGUUUUAUAACAUCUAUCUAUUACUAUAGAGUAACACAUAUAUAUAAGUUUCUGUUCUAUAAAACAGAAGUGUUUUAGCUAAGAGUGUGCAAUCAGAAAAAGCUUGGAAACCACUGAGCCUGAAUGUAAGAAAUACAUCAACCAAAGACUUUUUGGCAUUUGAGAAAUGCAUUAUUAUCUUCUAAUAAGAUAUUUGCAAGAGAGUCCAUCAAACUGAUAUUUUUCAUUAGCUAUUCUUUUCUUUGAGCUUUCAUUUGUCACUUACUACCUAGAGGUCAUAGGCAACCUGAAAAAAAGGCAAUGAUGCUCACUACAUCCCUAGAUUCACAAUAUUUCAUAAUUGAGCAGAAUAAAAAGGACAAUAAAGAGGAUCGUCUUUCACCCCGUCAAGUAUGACACAGCCAUAAAUGAUACUCCCUUGGCACAGAAUACAAGUUAAUUCAUCAAUAACUUAAUUAUGAUCCUCAAUCCAUCAGUCAAUGAAAUUUUAUGUAGGAAAGAAAAUUUUAUAUGCACUAUUUGCUUCAAUAAAAUCGGAAUUUAAAAGUAUCUAAUCUGACACAGGACUAAUUUACAUGUUGUAAACCUAAAUAUAAUUUGGGGGAAGUUUAUUUCUGCAUAGGUCCAGAUUUCCUGAAUAAAUUAGAUACAGAUUAAAAUUUCAUUAUAGCAGUGAUACAGUUCCUCAUUAGGAAUCACAGAAGGUUCCUAUAUAUGUCCUGAGAUUUGAAUGUGGUCUCUACACUUUGCCAACUUUCAGAAAACAUUCAUUCAAAUUGCAAAAGAGCUGGUUUUCAGCCAGUGUUCCAAUGGCUGUACUGGCACAUUGAAAGAAAGUCAAUAAGGAAGCAGACAUCACCAAGUGCUUGCCUCCUCUUCCAAAGCAAGCCUCUUCUAAAAGAAGAAAAAGCAAGGGUUGAAAAAAGAGAGAAGCCUGAAGAGAAGUGAGAAGCAGAUGAAGAAGAGGGCAAAAAAAGAAGAAAAUAAAGGUGAAAGUAGAGAAGAAAAGUUAGGAGACUCAUUGCAAGAUUUAUACAGGGCACUGGAGCAAGCCAGUCUGUCACCACUAGGAGAACAUCGUAUUUCAACCAAGAUGGAAUACAAGCUAUCAUUUAUAAAAAGAUGUAAUGAUCCUGUAAUGAAUGAAAAACUACACAGGCUGAGAAUUCUCAAAAGCACUUUAAAGGCCAGAGAAGGGGAAGUAGCCAUUAUCGACAAAGUCCUAGACAAUCCAGACUUGACAUCUAAAGAAUUCCAACAAUGGAAGCAGAUGUACCUCGACCUUUUCUUGGAUAUCUGUCAAAAUACCACCUCAAAUGACCCACUGAGUAUUUCUUCUGAAGUAGAUGUGAUCACUUCCUCUCUAACACACACUCAUUCAUACAUUGAAACGCAUGUCUAAGUGUAUUCUGCCUUCAGGCUGUCUAGUACCUGCUGGUACUCUGAACAAGUAUAUAAAGUAGUUUUUAUAUCAAUGUGUGGAACACUUGACAAGCUAUACUUUAAUGUUAUCAAACUAUAUGAAACAAACCAUAUAUGGUCACAAUACCACUAUCUUUAAUGAGCAUUUGUAUGUUUUAUAUGCAAUCAGUGCUCAGCUUAUGUUUACCAUGUGCAAAAUCAACUGUCUUUAAUGACUUAAAAUUAACUUUUGCAAACAAUUCUAAAUACAGGUGGUCUUCAAGUAGUAAAACCACAAAAGUCAGUUUUCUAUCUAUGGUCAUCUUUUCUCCCUUUAAGUUAAUUUUAUAUAAACAAGACUUCAAAAGUAAAUCACAUUUUUUGAGGUACAGACAUCCUUGUGGGUGGGAAAGAAUUUAAACCUUUUUUAUAUUUAUUAAAAUGUUCUAAGAAUUUUCUUAAACAUUGCACAACAUUUAAUGCUGUAGUUUUAUUUUUGUGAAAUGUAGAUGCACAUACAAGAGCUAAGCAAAAUAGAAGAGCAUCGACAUAAGAAAAGUUCAGGUAUCUAACAUUCGUCUUAAUAGUCUAUUAACUUGUGAAAACUAGUUAAUGGAAAUAUUAUUCCAAAUCUAUGAGAACACUUGGUGUAUCAGGGCAAAGCUUUGUAAGAUGUUUUUGUAACUAAGACCAAAAUUGAAGAUAGAGCUGCUUUAUUUUCUUGGUUUAAAUCUUCCUUUAUUUUUGUAGUGAUGAGAUGCUGAUUGUGUACAGAAGAAUUUGAGAGGGGAUUUUUAAAAACUGACUUAACUCACCCAGAAAGGCAGCUAACAGCUAUAUAUAUAUAUAAUUAAUUUCAGCCCAAACUCAUCUUUUUAAACUCCAACUCUUAAAAGACAACAAGAUAUAAACUGAAAUGAAUCAACUUUCCACUUAGUGGACUAGGGGAAAAUUGGAAACUAAUUAAACUUAUGUAAUUAUACUUCAGGCAGGGAAGUACAAUAUGUUUAGUUACAGGCUGAUAUGUGUUAUAAAAAACAACAUUGAAAAAUAAAAAUGUACUUCCCUACUAAGGAGCAAGAGGGUGAUGGUCAUUCAGAGAGAUGUCACAUUGAAUUAUGAGAGAAACAAUUUACAGGUUUUUUCCUAGCUUCAUGUUCUAUAGAGUGGAUGAAGUCUAAGAAAAAGUCCUCUUUAUAUAUUUCCAUUUAUAAGCGUCUUGUUUUUGAAAGUGAUCACAGCAUGAAAAUGACUGUGCUGCUUUUUAGUGUCUGGCUGCAUAACGUACAAGUCACAAUUUGCUGUUUCUUCAGGAGGAGAAAGGGAACCUCCUUUACUAUUCUAUAUCCUAAAAUCUACUUCUAAUCAGCUUUAUACUGUUGCCUGUACAGCUCAGUGAAUGUACUUUCAUCCUUAAGAGUUCAGAUAUAUGCCAGUGAAUAUUUUUGCUGUAGAGGAGAAAGUAAAAACUCCACAGCGGGGAUCUUUUUCUUUGCUUUUGAAACCACCAUUGAAUCACUAUAGUUUUGCAGACUUUGCACAACUGUACAGGAGAGUGGCCUUUCUACAGCACAUUUUCAGUAUCCUAUAUUUAGUCAAAAUGGAUGAGAAAUCAUGUAUUAAUGUUUGUAUGGAAUUUUGGGUCCAGUGUAAUAUUUUUAUCAUUUAAAAAGAACUCUAUUUGUAAAAACAUUUAUUUACUGCAUGGAUAUUGAUGCACAUUAAAUUUGUGGGAUUUUGUAUAUGUAAAAAAACAAAACAAAACAAAAAACCUCUUGUCCUAAAAUGAAAUGUGCUUGUUACAGGUGUUUAGACUUAUUGAUGUUUACUAGACCAAAUGUGUAUGUUCACUUAAAAAUUUAUGUACCUGAUGGAUGUGUCAUGAAUACAGUGGCCAGGUUGUGGCCUGUAAACAGCAAGCUGUUGAUGGGAAGACUAGCUCUGUUGCUACUAAGCAGCUUUUACUUUUGUAAAGUCAGCUCUGUUGUUUACAUGGUAAAAAUUAAACUAAUGAAUUUGA